rfam:Ruminococcaceae bacterium strain KHP2 genome assembly, contig: Ga0059115_103
UGGGCUGGUCGCAAGACCCGGGUCCAUCAAAUGGCGGGUAAGACACCC